rnacentral:lncRNA from 1 species
CUCCUUCCUGAGUCAAGAGAAGCUCUCAUCUUUGCUUGGAGAGGGAGGAGGAGGCAGCUUUUCCCUGCCGUGAACAUGAGGGAGGGCAACCCCCUGCCCAUCGUGAUCAAUGCCAUGGUGUCUCUGGUUUUGAUAUUAAUAGUGGGCAGAGAGCUUCCCCCACCAUCAGAUUCAAAAUGGAGGAAUCCGUGGUUUUGAAUCUGGGCAGGGGGUUAUUGAAAACAGAAUGCAACCAAGGGGACCAGUAAAUGCCUUCAAGUGGUGGCAGCAGCAGCAACAGAAGAGCUAUUGCUGCAAGGGGAGAGCUGUUUGAAUAGUUCAAAGAGCUCUUCCAGUACCUCUGCAGUACAAUACACAGGGUAAAAGCAAUAUAAGAUAAACAAUCAAAUGAAGGUGACUACGGAGAAAAACAAUUUACCCAAAUAUCAUGACUAAUCAGAUCUCCCCGGAUUUCAUCAGGUGUCUGAAAGAAGCUAAGUAAAUCUUUCUUGGAAGGCUAUUCCAUCAUGUGGGGGGGAAGACAGAGAAUGUCUUAUUCUUGGCAAUUGUCCCAUGGAACUCAUUAAGGGAUGGUACAACUGGGAGCGUUUCCUCUGAAGAUCUUAACAGANAAACCAUUCAAAAUCAAGGAUCCUGCAAGGACUGCUGUCUUCAUGUGAAGAAUAAUUGUGAAUGGUGGUGCAUGGCGGUUGAACAACAUACCCAAACAGGAAGACUCCAUGGACAUGGCACAGAGGUAUAUUGACAAGUCCUACUUCCCACUUUCAGAAACCAUCUUCCUUUCUUCCAGACAUGGUGAAAACAGGGACAGGAUGCUCCCACUUGCACUGAAGAGCUCUACAUACUGCAUGUGCUGAGGCAUCAUUUGAAAAAGCAAUCUGUAGAUGANUGCUCAGGGCAGAAAAGCACGUCCUGUAAAACGGGCACCUCAGACAGCGAUUGUGCCCACAAAGGAAGGUUCGGUCUCUGAGAGGCGCGUGUUGCUUCUGCAAGUGAAGAUGUGGUGGCGAUGAUGCAUUUUUAAGGAUUCCCCACACACACACUGGUACGAGGCGAUGUGGCUUUCAUCUUAGUAAUAGAGGCAUUUGUUAUGUGUUGGUUGCACAGUCCAUCAGAUGUGGUAACUGGAGUUUUGAAUCAUAACCAAAGAUUUGGAGACCAACAAUGUAUCUUCAAAGAAUGUAGCUAGCUGCAAACNCUGUUGUUUCUUGCAGCUGUGGAANUGUAAUANUAUCUAUUCUGAAGUCUUUCAAAUAAUUUUUGAAUUUCUUUGCUGUGAUCCCUAAUGAGCCUAUAGCUUUUGGAACUGCUGUUGCAUUGGAUUUCCACAGACAUUGGGUUUGGAUUCAUAGAUCUCAAUAUUUUGUUAUCUCCAAUUUCUUUUCAGUUUUACUGUCCCCUGGGAUUAUUAUGAAGGUGAUGAGCCAACUGUUCUAAUUGUUUGAAUUAUAAAACCCAACAAUAUUUUAACCUUACUGUUCUCCACAAUCUUUUCUGGUUUAUGUCACCAUUUUUUUUUUUCUUUUCAACUGGUAAAUUAUAACUUUCACAUAAAUUCUACNGGAUUAUUUCUGAGAUUUUAUUGUGGCAUUUCUUAUAAUCUGCCUGUGUGGUCUUAUUGCAUGAAUUAAUGAGGCAGUCUAUGGUUCCAUCUUAUAGGGUAUUUAUUUGUAGAGUUUAUGGCCCUUUCUUCACUGGGCCUUAUAUCCAGNAUAAGGUCCAGUGCAGAAAGGGCCUGUUGUUAUUGUUAUAAUUAUUACUGUUGUUACACUUUUAUUAGAGCAGAUGACUGAAAUUUCCUACAAUUAAUUUCUCUGUAACUGAAUAGCUGCUAAAUUCAGUUAGAACUAGAAUUAG